GGUUGUAGCUCAGCAGUAGAGCACCUGCUUUCCAUGCAGAAGGCCCCAUGUUCAAUACUUUUCAUCAUCA